rnacentral:rRNA from 1 species
AGCAGCCGCGGUAAUUCCAGCUCCAAUAGCGUAUAUUAAGGUUGUUGCAGUUAAAAAGCUCGUAGCUGAAUUUCGGGAUCAAAGGAUCGGUCAUGCCUUGGUAUGUACUGGUUUUAUUGGUUCUCACCUUCUAAAGAACCAUAAUGUCAUUCAUUUGAUGUUAUGGGGAAUUAGGACUGUUACCUUGAAAAAAAUUAGAGUGUUUAAAGCAGGCUUACGCUUGAAUACAUUAGCAUGGAAUAAUGAAAUAGGACAUCAGAUUCUAUUUUGUUGGUUUCUAGGAUCGAUGUAAUGAUUAAUAGGGAUAGUUGGGGGCAUUAGUAUUCAAUUGUCAGAGGUGAAAUUCUUAGAUUUAUUGAAGACUAACUACUGCGAAAGCAUUUGCCAAGGAUGUUUUCAUUAAUCAAGAACGAAAGUUAGGGGAUCGAAGACGAUCAGAUACCGUCGUAGUCUUAACCAUAAACUAUGCCGACUAGGGAUCGGAUGAUGUUAAUUUUAUAAUGACUCAUUCGGCACCUUA